rnacentral:lncRNA from 10 species
GUGAGCCACUGCGUGCCCGGCAGCAGAUGAACUUUCAAUCGGAGCAAUGGAAUUCUGUGGGGCAGGGGAUUGCACACUGCACACAUCACAGCUGCUCAUCCAGGGUUCAGGGAGCACAGGUGUUGUGGCACUUGCUUCAUCUUGAGUGGCACGGAGCACAGAGCAGCCCCUGUGGAGUGUGGAAACACCAAACCCUGAGUCACCACUGACUGUUGCCCUGGGCAUAGAACCCCAGGUGAAGGCACUUAACACUGGUUAUCCCUGUGCAUCCAGGAAGCUGAAUGGCGGCCAAAGAAAAAAGUUACAAUGCAGUCAGGCUGGACCAGAGAAUUCCUGCAUGUGCAAGUUUGUGCGUGUGUAUGUUUUGGAAGUCAAGCCAGAUGUCGUCUUUCCUCAUGUGACAUUUGGUAUCUUUUUU